rnacentral:rRNA from 1 species
GUAACAAGGUUUCCGUAGGUGAACCUGCGGAAGGAUCAUUGUCGAAACCUGCGAAGCAGGAAGACCUGUGAACAAGUUGAACCACUUCAGG